CGAGUGGCGAACGGGUGAGUAACACGUGGGCAACCUGCCCUUUGCACUGGGAUAGCCUCGGGAAACCGAGGUUAAUACCGGAUACUCCAUAUUUGUUGCAUGGCGAAUAUGGGAAAGCUCCGGCGGCAAAGGAUGGGCCCGCGGCCUGUUAGCUAGUUGGUGGGGUAGUGGCCUACCAAGGCAAUGAUGGGUAGCCGGGUUGAGAGACCGACCGGCCAGAUUGGGACUGAGACACGGCCCAGACUCCUACGGGAGGCAGCAGCA
rnacentral:rRNA from 1 species